GCCGAAUGUCCGGGUGGUGAGGAAGGAGUCUUGAAAACUCUGGGCGGGCAACCGCUUGCAGGUUCGAAUCCUGUGUUCGGCGCCA
rnacentral:tRNA from 1 species